rnacentral:lncRNA from 1 species
UCCUAUGUGAGGGACAAACAUUCAGAACCCAGCAGCAGUGUUCUGGAAUACUCUGUGAGGGAAAAACAUUCAGACCCUCGUAGCAAUGUUCUGGAAUCCUAUGUGAGGGAAAAACAUUCAGAUACUCGUAGCAUUGUUCUGGAAUCCUAUAUGAGGGACAAACAUUCAGACCCUCUUAGCAGUGUUCUGGAAUCCUAUGUGAGGGACAAACUCUCAGAACCCAGCAGCAGUGUUCUGGAA